GACAAACGAAACAACUGAAAUGAGGUUCCCUGUGCUACAUUUGAGUCUGAAGGGAAAGGUCACAUUGUCUACAGCUUCUUGAAUCUUUGUCUUUUAAUCUGACCUAUGAAAGAGACGACAGAAAGAGAGACAACAGGGCAGCUUAUUCUCUGAAUACUUGGCUUGCCUCUGAGGAGAAGAGAAGAGACGGAGCAGGUGAAGAAACAAGAAAACAUCAGUGAAGGAAAAUGAAGCAGCAGGGGAAUUUAAGUGUGCAUUCAGGCAACAGGAGCCUUCAUCAAGAGACAGCUGCGUCUCGGUUGGCGGUCUUCGUGACGAAGGAGGUUGACGUUGAGAUCUCCAGACUUGCUGAACUGCUUCUCCUC